AAUAGAUACCCUGGUAGUCCACGCCGUAAACGUUGGGCGCUAGAUGUGGGGACCUUUCCACGGUUUCCGUGUCGUAGCUAACGCAUUAAGCGCCCCGCCUGGGGAGUACGGCCGCAAGGCUAAAACUCAAAGGAAUUGACGGGGGCCCGCACAAGCGGCGGAGCAUGCGGAUUAAUUCGAUGCAACGCGAAGAACCUUACCAAGGCUUGACAUAUACGAGAACGCGCCAGAAAUGGUGAACUCUUUGGACACUCGUAUACAGGUGGUGCAUGGUUGUCGUCAGCUCGUGUCGUGAGAUGUUGGGUUAAGUCCCGCAACGAGCGCAACCCUCGUCGCAUGUUGCCAGCACGUUAUGGUGGGAACUCAUGUGAGACUGCCGGGGUCAACUCGGAGGAAGGUGGGGAUGACGUCAAAUCAUCAUGCCCCUUAUGUCUUGGGCUUCACGCAUGCUACAAUGGCCGGUACAAAGGGCUGCGAUGUCGUAAGGCGGAGCGAAUCCCAAAAAGCCGGUCUCAGUUCGGA
rnacentral:rRNA from 1 species